GUGCGCGUGGUCACGCCGUUGGCCAUGCUUCCUUGCUGGCCUUUUCAUGUUUUGUGCAUCCGAAUGCCGGGCUAAGCUGAGCUGCAAACUCUUCCUACUUUACGAUCGGGCUUGCGUGCCUGCGACUAAAGAUCAGACCGAACCCAAUGCGUUACAUGACUUAGCACCACCUCCCCCAUGAUACCGCGCAACGUUCGGAAACGUGUGGGCGUUCCUCGUUUUUCUUUUUCUGCAGUUGAUGGCCUUCUCGAGUCGUGCGCGAUGGUGUGCCGACGACGUUGCCGGAGAGGGUGAGUGUGUGCUUGUGUGCAUCCUUCUUCUCCCAUCGCAUGCCACUGAGUUCAGUCUCUUCCACAGACCAAAAUGGGCGGUGUUUAGCCGCAAAAAAAAGUCUGAAGGAAACACUGCCGCACCCAUCCAGGAGCACAGAAGAAGCAUGCGCGGGCACCACCAAAGAAAAGCUCGUGUGAGGACCUCCCAUCCCUCCAUGCGCCCUGCUCGACG
rnacentral:misc_RNA from 1 species